rnacentral:rRNA from 1 species
UUGGACGGCCAAAGGGGCUGGGUUCCACCCGUUCCCAUUCGAACACGGCAGUUAAACCAGCAUCCGUACCGGUCUGUACUGCGAUACGCGGGAACUCCGGUAAGCUGUCUACC